GACAGAGGGGGCAAGCGUUGUCCGGACUGACUGGGCGUAAAGCGCGCGCAGGCGGUCAGAGGCGUCGGUGCUCAAAGUCCACCGCUUAACGGUGGGAGGCGUGCCGAUACGCUCUGACUGGAGGGCGGGCGAGGGUGGUGGAAUUGCCGGUGUAGUGGUGAAAUGCGUAGAUAUCGGGAGGAACACCAGUGGCGAAGGCGACUACCUGGCCUGUUUCUUGACGCUGAGGCGCGAAAGCUAGGGGAGCAAACGGG
rnacentral:rRNA from 1 species